AGAGUUUGAUCCUGGCUCAGAAUGAACGCUGGCGGCGUGCUUAACACAUGCAAGUCGUACGAGAACGCUUCAGCUUGCUGAAGCUAGUAAAGUGGCGUACGGGUGAGUAACGCGUGGGUAAUCUACCUUCGAAUUGGGGAUAACGUUGCGAAAGUGACGCUAAUACCGAAUAAUAUCAUAGAGACGUUGGUUUUUAUGAUCAAAGAUGGCCUCUCCUUGGAAGCUAUUGUUUGGAGAUGAGCCCGCGUCCCAUUAGCUUGUUGGUGGGGUAAUGGCCUACCAAGGCAACGAUGGGUAUCUGGUCUGAGAGGAUGAUCAGCCACACUGGAACUGACACACGGUCCAGACUCCUACGGGAGGCAGCAGUGAGGAAUUUUGCGCAAUGGGGGAAACCCUGACGCAGCAACGCCGCGUGAGUGAUGAAGGCUUUCGGGUCGUAAAGCUCUGUCAAGUGGGAAGAACUCCCGUGAGGUUAAUACCCUCAUGGUUUGACGGUACCACUGAAGGAAGCACCGGCUAACUCCGUGCCAGCAGCCGCGGUAAUACGGGGGGUGCAAGCGUUAUUCGGAUUUACUGGGCGUAAAGCGCGCGUAGGCUGCCGUUUAAGUCAGAUGUGAAAGCCCGGGGCUCAACCCCGGAAGUGCAUUUGAUACUAUUCGGCUUGAGUAUGGGAGAGGGAAGUGGAAUUCCUGGUGUAGAGGUGAAAUUCGUAGAUAUCAGGAGGAACACCGGUGGCGAAGGCGACUUCCUGGACCAAUACUGACGCUGAGGCGCGAAGGCGUGGGUAGCAAACAGGAUUAGAUACCCUGGUAGUCCACGCAGUAAACGGUGAUCACUAGGUGUAGCGGGUAUUGACCCCUGCUGUGCCGCAGCUAACGCAUUAAGUGAUCCGCCUGGGGAGUACGGCCGCAAGGUUAAAACUCAAAGGAAUUGACGGGGGCCCGCACAAGCGGUGGAGCAUGUGGUUUAAUUCGACGCAACGCGAAGGACCUUACCUGGAUUUGACAUCUCGGGAAUUUCUGUGAAAGUAGGAAGUGCCCUUCGGGGAGCCCGAUGACAGGUGCUGCAUGGCUGUCGUCAGCUCGUGUCGUGAGAUGUUGGGUUAAGUCCCGCAACGAGCGCAACCCCUAUCUUUAGUUACCAGCACUUCGGGUGGGGACUCUAAAGAUACUGCCCCGGUCAACGGGGAGGAAGGUGGGGAUGACGUCAAGUCCUCAUGGCCUUUAUGUCCA
rnacentral:rRNA from 1 species